AUUGAACGCUGGCGGCAUGCUUUACACAUGCCAGUCGAACGGCAGCGCGGGCUUCGGCCUGGCGGCGAGUGGCGAACGGGUGAGUAAUACAUCGGAACGUGCCCAGUAGUGGGGGAUAGCUCGGCGAAAGCCGGAUUAAUACCGCAUACGACCUGAGGGUGAAAGCGGGGGAUCUUCGGACCUCGCGCUAUUGGAGCGGCCGAUGGCAGAUUAGCUAGUUGGUGGGGUAAAGGCCUACCAAGGCGACGAUCUGUAGCUGGUCUGAGAGGACGACCAGCCACACUGGGACUGAGACACGGCCCAGACUCCUACGGGAGGCAGCAGUGGGGAAUUUUGGACAAUGGGCGAAAGCCUGAUCCAGCAAUGCCGCGUGUGUGAUGAAGGCCUUCGGGUUGUAAAGCACUUUUGGCGGGAACGAAAAGGAUUGUGCCAAUACCACGGUUCGAUGACGGUACCCGCAGAAUAAGCACCGGCUAACUACGUG
rnacentral:rRNA from 1 species